rnacentral:rRNA from 1 species
AGAACGAACGCUGGCGGCAUGCCUAACACAUGCAAGUCGAACGAGACCUUCGGGUCUAGUGGCGCACGGGUGCGUAACGCGUGGGAAUCUGCCCUUAGGUUCGGAAUAACUCAGGGAAACUUGAGCUAAUACCGGAUGAUGACGUAAGUCCAAAGAUUUAUCGCCUAAGGAUGAGCCCGCGUAGGAUUAGCUUGUUGGUGAGGUAAAGGCUCACCAAGGCGACGAUCCUUAGCUGGUCUGAGAGGAUGAUCAGCCACACUGGGACUGAGACACGGCCCAGACUCCUACGGGGAGGCAGCAGGUGGGGAAUAUUGGACAAGUGGGCGAAAAGGCCUAGAUCCAGCAAUGCCGCGUGAGUGAUGAAGGCCUUAGGGUGUAAAGCUCUUUUACCCGGGAUGAUAAUGACAGGUACCGGGAGAAAGUAACGCCCCGGACUAACCUCCGGUAGCCAAGCCAAGGCCGACC